GCCCGGGUGGCGGAAUAGGUAGACGCAAGGGACUUAAAAUCCCUCGGGUGCGUGCACCCGUACCGGUUCGAUUCCGGUCCCGGGCACCA
rnacentral:tRNA from 1 species